ACCAUGCACCAGCCACCUCUGAACCACACGAACUCCAUGCAUGAACUAUGUGUGAACCACACCUGCGUGAGGUGUGAGGCACGCCUGUGUCACGUUUCCACCUCACCUGAGUCACGUGUCAGCCACGCCUGAACAACGUGUGAACCAGGCCUGUGUCAAGGCUCAGCCACGCCAAGUCACGUGCCAGCCAGGCCUGAACCAAGUGCCAGUCACACUUGAACCACAGGUCAGCCUCACUUGAAGCACGUGUCAGCCACACUGGCACAACUUGCCUGCCAUGCCUGAACCACGUGCCACCCAUGCCAAAAACACAUGUGAGCCACACCUGACCAACACGACAGACAUGCAUGAGCCACACCUGAACCAUGUGUGACCCAUGCGUGAACAAAGCCUGUAUCAUGUGUCAGCCACAUGGGAGACAGUUCUGUGGCACGCCUGCAUCACGUGUGAGCCAUGGCUGAGUUAUGCUUGAACCAUGUGUGAGAGUGUCCUCAACCAUGUGUCCCCCAGAUGAGUCGUGUGAGAUCCACGCCUGAAUUACACGCAAACCAUGUGUGAGCCAUGCAGCAACCACAUGGGAGACACCCUUGAACCUCAUCUGAAGAACCUGUGAAACACACAUGUUCCAUGCUUGAAGCACGCAUGAACCACAGGGGAGCCACCCAUGAGAUAUAGCUUAGCCAUGCCUGAGCCACGUGGCAGCCAUGACUGAGUAUGUGGGAGCCACGUUUCAGCAACCUGUAGUCACGUGGGAGCCACCAUGUAUGGCAUGUGACUCCUGCGUGAAAACCUUUCCGUCCCACAUGGCCACUGGGCGAUGAAUGCCUGAGUCACAUAGCCACACCAGAGUCCUGUUUCACACAUGCCGGAGUCACAUUUCAGCCACUCUUGAACCACCUGCCACCCAUGCGUGCACCAUGCACCAGCCACAUCUGAACCACACGAAGGCCAUGCAUGUACCAUGUGUGAACCACACCUGUGUGACGUGUCAGGCAUGCCUUUGUCACGUUUCCAGCUCACCUGAGUCAUGUGUCAGCCACGCUUGAACAACGUCUGAACCACGCCUGUGUCAAGGCUCAGCCGUGCCAAGUCACUUGCCAGCCAGGCCUGAACCAAGUGCCAGUCACACUUGAACCACAGGUCAGCCUCACUUGAAGCACGUGUCAGCCACACUGGCACAACUUGACUGGCAUGCCUGAACCAUGUGCCAACCAUGCCACAAACACGUGAUCCAUGCCUGAGCAACACCACAGCCUGCAUGAGCCACACCGAAGGCAUGUGUGAGCCAAGCAUCACAUAAUCAUGAAUCACGUGUCAACCACAAGGGAGCCAGUGCUGUGGCACGCCUGCAUCAUGUGAGAGCCAUGGCUGAGCUAUGCCUGAACCACGGAUGAAAGUUUCCUCUACGAUACGUGACCCACACGAGUACUGUGUGAGCCACAGCUGAAUUACACCCCAACCAUGUGUGAGCCAUGUGUGAACCACAUGUGAGACACCCUUGAAGCACAUCUGAACCACCUGUGAAACACACAUGAUCGAUGCUUGAAUCGCACAUGACCCACAAGGGAGCCACACAUGAAACACUGCUGAGCCAUGCAUGAGCCACGUGCCAACCAUGACUACGUAUGCGGGAGCCAUGUUUCAGCAAGCUGUGAGUCACGUGGCAGCCACACUUCUACGGCAUGUCACACACGUGUGACCACAAGUUUGCCAUGCAUGUAUCCUGUGUGAUGCAUCCCUGAGUCACGUGUCAGCCAUGCCUGAGACAUGUGUGAGCCACACCAAAGUCAUGUUUCACACAUGCCUGAGUCACAUGUCAGCCAUGCCGGAACCACCUGCCACACAUGCCUCAACCCUGCAGCAGCCACCAUUGAACCACAUGAAG
rnacentral:lncRNA from 1 species